UACGUAGGGUGCGAGCGUUAAUCGGAAUUACUGGGCGUAAAGGGUGCGCAGGCGGUUUUGUAAGCCAGGUGUGAAAUCCCCGGGCUUAACCUGGGAAUGGCAUUUGGGACUGCAAGGCUUGAGUGCGGCAGAGGAGACUGGAACUCCUGGUGUAGCAGUGAAAUGCGUAGAUAUCAGGAGGAACACCGAUGGCGAAGGCAGGUCUCUGGGCUGACACUGACGCUCAUGCACGAAAGCGUGGGGAGCAAACAGG
rnacentral:rRNA from 1 species